UACCCGCAGCACAAGUGGUGGUCAUUAUUAUUGGGCCUAAAGCGUCCGUAGCAGGCUUGUUAGAUGCCUGGGUAAAUCGAUGCGCUCAACGCAUCGACUUCCGGGUAGACCGGCAAGCUCGAGACCGGGAGAGGCGUGGGCUACUCGAGGGGUAGGGGUAAAAUCCUGUAAUCCUUCGGGGAGGACCAGUGGCGAAGGCGCACAUUAGAACGGCUCCGACAGUGAGGGACGAAGCCCUGGGGCGCAAACCGG
rnacentral:rRNA from 1 species